AUGGCUCUGCAGAAUGCUCUGGAAGCACUGUGGCUGGGGCUCCUCCUCAGCUCUCCCUGGAAGGGGGCAGAGAGCAAGGACCAAGUGUUUCAGCCUUCCAUUGUUGCAUCUUCAGAGGGAGCUGUGGUGGAAAUGGCCUGUAAUCACUCUAUAUCCAAUGCUUAUGACUUCUUCUGGUACCCUCACUUCCCAGGACAUGCACCAAGACUCCUUGUUAAGGGCGCAAGGCCUUCUCAGCAGGGACACUACAACAUGAUGUAUGAGCGAGUCUCCUCAUCACUGCUCAUCUGCCAGGUGCAGGUGGCAGAUGCUGCCAUUUACUAUUGUGCCCUGGAGGGCACAGAGGCAGCGAGCCUGGGAAGAGCUGAACAGAAACUGGGAGAGAUCUUAGCCUUUGCAGGAGGCAGACUAGAGAUGAGCAGUAACUGCUUCUCCUAUAAUUCAUUGUUCCCUAAGCUUUCCCAUUUGGGCUGCUAUCCAAAAAAACUUUGA